GCAGCAGGAGUGCCUGGGCAAGAGUUACUACGGAAACCAGGAGUUUAUUCAGUGAGAAGAAUCACUAAUGGCUGGAAGACACGGAGCUGAGCAUCCCUGCAAUCUGGUAUGGGUUAGGCUGGAGAAGCAGUGACCACAGAGAUUUCUAGUAUUCUUGUAAAUGGGAUUUCGAAAUAGGCAGUAAAAGAUGUCAGCAAGAAACAUUUUAUCGGAAAAAGAGGUGUUUACCAGUAACAGAAGCAGGCAAACUGAAACUGAAGAAGCAGCAGGCAGCCAUGCAUGCGGAGAGGAAAGGGAGAGGGGCAGGCAGACAGGUGUCAGUCUGUUGGUGAUGCUCUUGGGUCUGCACUAAUGAUCCUUUUAAACAGAAAAAGUAACAGAAAGGGGGACAGAGGAGAAAGAAAAGUACUUCCAAAGAGGACACCUCACACCCUCUGCUGCUAAACCACCAUGGAGGAAAGACACAGAACAGGACAAACUAGUGCAGUAAGAUCAAAAUGAGGACAGGACUUCAGCCUCCAGUGAUUCUAAGAUCAGGAGUGAAAAUCAAAUACAUCAUCUGAUGGUAUCUGAGAAAUAAAGAUGUUGAUCCUGUACACAUGGAAACUGCUGAUCAGACUGAUGUGAGAUUCAUAUGAGCUGUUGAAAAGAUGUGAUUGCUAAAAUGAGACCAUGGAACCUGAAACCAGAAGUGCACAAGUGGACAGAUCACCAGAACAAUCCACUAACACUCAAGUUUGUCCAUCUGGAGAAAGAAGCACCCCAAAGACACUGACGUAAAUAUUGAGGGAUGCUAACUGAUCAAUAUCUAAGUCCAAUCAUCAGUCUGGUGAAUGUGCCAUGGGGCUAGCCUCAUGGUUGCCAGAUUCCAUACCAAGUACCUGUUUCUGUACCUUAUCCUGUAUUCUAUCCAAGAUGGAUGUAAUAGUGGUAGAUGAAGUGAUAUUGACUAAUGGUGAGGAUAUUGCCCUCAAAUGUUUUAUGGUUCUAUAUAAUUUAUUGUGUCUGUUUAGGAGAU